rnacentral:rRNA from 1 species
UACGAAGGGGGCUAGCGUUGUUCGGAUUUACUGGGCGUAAAGCGCACGUAGGCGGAUAUUUAAGUCAGAGGUGAAAUCCCGGGGCUCAACCCUGGAACUGCCUUUGAUACUGGGUAUCUAGAGUACAGAAGAGGUAAGUGGAAUUCCGAGUGUAGAGGUGAAAUUCGUAGAUAUUCGGAGGAACACCAGUGGCGAAGGCGGCUUACUGGUCUGUUACUGACGCUGAGGUGCGAAAGCGUGGGGAGCAAACAGG